ACGUUGUUUUCAGAAAGUAAAAAGUUCAGAAAAAAAAAUGGACCCAAAUUUUAUAAAAGAAGGAACAGCCAACGAGAAUGAUGUUAAAAAGGAUAUUGGAUUAUCCAGAGUUGUAGCUAAAUGUGAAAAUCCAGACUUGCUCAUAGAAACCAUUGAUAGUUGGAAUAAUGAACACCAGAAGCUAGUGAAUGCUUUUAAAACUUUACAAGACAAGAUGGAAGUUAUGGUUCAUGAGAAAGAAAAGAAACAUCAAUCCAAUAGCAGUACGGGUAUCCUAAAUGAAACAGAAGAUUUUCUUGAAAGUGUAAAGAAUUCUCAGCCACUGUUACAGAGAAUCAAUAAUCUAGAUGAGGAAAAUGAAAGAUUGAAAGAAAAUGUUACCAAGCUUCAAUGUCAAGUAGAAAAUCUGAAAAAGGAGAAAUCAGAAUUUGAAGAAGAAACACAUGAAGGAAUAAUCAAACAAGAAAAAAUACAUCAAGAAGAGGUCAGGUCUCUAAAAGAUUUGUUUAAUUUGGAAGCUCACCAGAAAGAGACGAGUACUAAAGAAGAAAUAAAUAAAUAUGAAAAAGAAAUUCAGGAACUUCAAGACAAGAAUAACCAACUUCAAGCCUCAAAAGAAGCUGAACUUACUCAUUUAUCUAUGGAGUAUGAAAAUCAACUUGCGAAGAUCCACAGACAGAAAUUACAGAAUCAACAGAAUCAGUCCAACUCGGGUAAUCAAGAGAUUUUUAGAAAGAAGUUACAACAUAUGAAGGAAGAAUAUGAGGGUGAAAUAUGUAGGUUAAAACAAGAGUUAGAGAAUAGUCAACAGACUAGCUGUAAUCCAUCACCCAGAACACGUGACAGACUCUCACUUACUGCUGGAACUAAGAGACGAAGAUAGACAACGAGUCACAUUCAGUUAGAACCAGGGCCGAAUAGACAAUUGCUCCGGGCCCCCCUGU